AGAGAUGGAGUGCAUCUGCCCCAAGUGGAGGCAGCAGCAGCAGCAGGAGGGAGGUGUCGGGGCAGUGGGGCCGCAGGGCCAGUCCUCAGGUUGGUUACUCAGUUGUCCUCCCUGGUCUGUCCUCAAGGCGUGAUUUGGGCUGGGGUUCUGGCUGCCGUCCAGCCCUCCCUGGUUGCUGUGAGCCUGGCUCUCUAGCCAGCCCUAGAAGUCCGUGAGUUAGUUCUCUGUUGCUUGCAACCAAGAACCCUGACAAGAAAGAAAACUGGCUCAGAGAGGCUGAGUAACCUGCUCAAGAUGACACAGCUUGUGGGUGGCUGAGUUGGCCUUCCAACCCAGAUUCCUGUCAUGUUCCUCAAGCCGACAGGUUCAGCUUGGUUGUGACCUCUGCUAGAAGCCCUCCCUGGCCUCCCUGUGCACUGAGCUGGUGGUUCCUCCUUUGCGCCCCAGUCAGGAAGCCACUCCACCCCAGAAGAAGGUAAUAUGAGUCCUACUACCUUUCUGAAAGGAAGGGACACUCAUGUCGGGAGGCUUCAGCUGCUGUGAAAGAAACUCAGCUACCCUGAGGCUGCCUUGUAGAGGGACUGCAUUUAAAGUGAGAGAUUCCUGAGGAGUUCCAGCCAUCCAGCCCCAAGCAGUGUGAACCUCCUAGUCUAGACCCCAGCAUUUGAGCUGACCUCAGCCCCAGCCACCAAUUGACUGCAAACUCAUGAGACACCCUGAGUGAGAACUGCCUAGCUUAGUCUCUGUCAACCCUCAAAUUUCAGGAACAAAAUAAAUGAUUGUUGUUGUCUUAAGACCACUGUUUGGGGAUGGUUUCUUAUCAUGCAAUAGAUAGCUGAUGCAGACUUUUCUAUAACCUAGAAACGGAAUGCUGCCAUCACAGAACCUAAGUCAUGUGGCUUUAGGACUGGGAGAUGGGUAGAGAUUGUAAGGACUUUGAGGAUAUUGUUGAUGGAAGUCUGAUAGUUCUCAAGGAAGUUGCUGGUGAGGGCUUAAAGGAAAGUGAGAAAUUUUUAUUAGAAGCAGGAGGAAAGGGGACAAACCCUUAUUACGUGGUGGAAGAAAGUUAGUAACAUUGUCACUUGAAGCUAUGUGAGCAAUAGAAAAUGUGCCUA
rnacentral:lncRNA from 10 species